rnacentral:rRNA from 1 species
AGAGUUUGAUCCUGGCUCAGAGCGAACGCUAGCGGGUGGCUUAACACAUGCAAGUCGAGCGCCGUCUUCGGACGGAGCGGCGGACGGGUGAGUAACACGUAGGACAUCUGUCCUCUGGUAGGGGAUAGCCGAGGGAAACUUCGAUUAAUACCGUAUAUGGCCCACGGGUCAAAGUCUUCGGACGCCAGAGGAGGAGCCUGCGGCCCAUUAUUUAGUCCUAGUUGGUGGGGUAACGGCCUACCAAGGGUACGAUGGGUAGCUGGUCUGAGAGGACGAUCAGCCACACUGGGACUGAGACACGGCCCAGACUCCUACGGGAGGCAGCAGUGGGGAAUCUUGCGCAAUGGGCGAAAGCCUGACGCAGCCAACCCGCGUGUGUGAUGAAGGCCUUCGGGUUGUAAAGCACUGUCGAGGGGGAAGAAGAUCUGACGGUACCCCUCAAGAAAGCACCGGCUAACUCCGUGCCAGCAGCCGCGGUAAUACGGAGGGUGCAAGCGUUGCUCGGAAUCACUGGGCGUAAAGCGUCCGCAGGCGGCCUGGUCCGUCGGGUGUGAAAGCCCGGGGCUCAACCCCGGAAUUGCAUUCGAAACUGCCAGGCUUGAAUACGGGAGAGGGAAGCGGAAUUCCUGGUGUA